CGGAGUUUGAGGACCCAUGGUCUAGAUUAACUUGGUAUGUGUAAUACAUGUAAGACUGCUGUAGUGUGGUGGGUUGUGAGAUUUCCCUUGUAGAUGUACCCACUCCUGUGGAGGAAAGACAAUGAAUUUAUCCUUGAUCUUAAUCUACUUAACAUGCUGCAUUGGUUGCUGGAUUGUACUAUGAUGGCCUUCAAGAAUUGCUUGUUCAAUACUCCACACAAUAUUUCACAACUGUUUUAGUAUGCAUUGUACCGGCAAACAGCCACCAUGGCAACUCUUUUAUAUUUAUGUUUUAUAUUGUUUUUUUAUGUCUUGUUUAUUAUUCUCUGUAAUUUACUAAAUAAAGAAUAUUAGAAAAAA